rnacentral:rRNA from 1 species
UACGGGGGGGGCAAGCGUUGUUCGGAAUUACUGGGCGUAAAGGGCGCGUAGGUGGCCAACUAAGUCAGACGUGAAAUCCCUCGGCUUAACCGGGGAACUGCGUCUGAUACUGGAUGGCUUGAGUUUGGGAGAGGGAUGCGGAAUUCCAGGUGUAGCGGUGAAAUGCGUAGAUAUCUGGAGGAACACCGGUGGCGAAGGCGGCGAUCCUGGACUACUACUGACGCUGAGUGAGCGAAAGCCAGGGGAGGCAAAACGGGG